UACGAAGGGGGCUAGCGUUGCUCGGAAUCACUGGGCGUAAAGGGUGCGUAGGCGGGUCUUUAAGUCAGGGGUGAAAUCCUGGAGCUCAACUCCAGAACUGCCUUUGAAACUGUACGGCUUGAGGCCGGGAGGGGGUAGCGGAAUUCCCAGUGUAGCGGUGAAAUGCGUAGAUACUGGGAGGAACACCAGUGGCGAAGGCGGCUACCUGGACCGGUUCUGACGCUGAGGCGCGAAAGCGUGGGUAGCAAACAGG
rnacentral:rRNA from 1 species